rnacentral:rRNA from 1 species
UACGUAUGGUGCAAGCGUUAUCCGGAUUUACUGGGUGUAAAGGGAGCGCAGGCGGCACGGCAAGCCUGAUGUGAAAGCCUUCGGCUUAACCGAAGAAGUGCAUCGGAAACCGGGCAACUUGAGUGCAGAAGAGGACAGUGGAACUCCAUGUGUAGCGGUGGAAUGCGUAGAUAUAUGGAAGAACACCAGUGGCGAAGGCGGCUGUCUGGUCUGCAACUGACGCUGAGGCUCGAAAGCAUGGGUAGCGAACAGG